UUUUUGCUUUGCCACAGUGAUGUCAGGACAAAUGUACCACGAGUGCCUGAGAGUCCAGUCUUCCCCAAGAAGAGACAAGCACGAAGAUCCUAGGAGGAAGCACGCUGACGGGGACUAGUCACGGCCACGACACCUCUAGUGUCAGGGCAGCCCUGUGGCCCCUCGAGCUGCUGUGUAACCAGCUCCUCUGGGAAAGCACAAGCCCUUGGAAUGCUCUCCAGCUCCCUUGUGAGUAAUUUUCGAGAAGAACACAACUUUGCCAAGAACAUCCCGCAAUCUGGGUGUCUUGUCUUUGAAGACUUUGGAAAAUUUGGAUGACGUGCCUAGCGCCAUAAUUUAUACUUCAGUAGGCCGGUCUUCAUCAAUGCAAUGGAAUCAUCCAUGUGUGGCUCCCGAGGAAAGAAGGUGUGGUUUACUGCCAGGUGCUCUUCAGAGCUGAGUCCCUCUAACAGCAGGCCUGUUAAGGCGUGGCUGCGGCCUGAACCCUCCGGCUGAGCCUUUGCCUCCCAGGUUCCUGGACAUCCUCCACUCACUCCUCUGUUUGUGGGACCCUGCCUGGCCUGUCUGAUCCUCCUUGAGAUUUUGGCCCACAUAUAUCAAUUUCUCUCUGCCCCCAUGCAGUGGUAGUCACCGUUCUGUCCCCCGCGGGUGCUGGUGAGAAAGGUAAAAGGGCG
rnacentral:lncRNA from 1 species